rnacentral:rRNA from 1 species
UACGUAGGGUGCGAGCGUUGUCCGGAAUUAUUGGGCGUAAAGGGCUCGUAGGCGGUCUGUCACGUCGGGAGUGAAAACUCGGGGCUUAACUCCGAGCCUGCUUCUGAUACGGGCAGACUAGAGGUAUGCAGGGGAGAAUGGAAUUCCUGGUGUAGCGGUGAAAUGCGCAGAUAUCAGGAGGAACACCGGUGGCGAAGGCGGUUCUCUGGGCAUGACCUGACGCUGAGGCACGAAGGUCAGGGGAGCAAACGGG